rnacentral:rRNA from 1 species
UGCAAGUCGAACGAACCUUCGGGUUAGUGGCGGACGGGUGAGUAACGCGUGAGAAUCUGCCCUCAGGAGGGGGAUAACAGUUGGAAACGACUGCUAAUACCCCAUAUGCCGAGAGGUGAAACGAAUUUCGCCUGGGGAUGAGCUCGCGUCUGAUUAGCUUGUUGGUGGGGUAAUGGCCUACCAAGGCUUUGAUCAGUAGCUGGUCUGAGAGGACGAUCAGCCACACUGGGACUGAGACACGGCCCAGACUCCUACGGGAGGCAGCAGUGGGGAAUUUUCCGCAGUGGGCGAAAGCCUGACGGAGCAACGCCGCGUGAGGGAUGAAGGCCUUUGGGCUGUAAACCUCUUUUCUCAAGGAAAAAGAUCUGACGGUACUUGAGGAAUAAGCCACGGCUAAUUCCGUGCCAGCAGCCGCGGUAAUACGGGAGUGGCAAGCGUUAUCCGGAAUUAUUGGGCGUAAAGCGUCCGCAGGCGGCCGUUUAAGUCUGUUGUUAAAUUGUGGAGCUCAACUCCAUCACGGCAAUGGAAACUGUUCGGCUUGAGUAUGGUAGGGGCAGAGGGAAUUUCCGGUGUAGCGGUGAUAUGCGUAGAUAUCGGGAAGAACGCCAGUGGCGAAAGCGCUCUGCUGGGCCAUUACUGACGCUCAUGGACGAAAGCCAGGGGAGCGAAAUGGAUUAGAUACCCAUGUAGUCCUGGCCGUAAACGAUGAACACUAGAUGUUGGGGGAAUCGACCCCCUCAGUGUCGUAGCUAACGCGUUAAGUGUUCCGCCUGGGGAGUACGCACGCAAGUGUGAAACUCAAAGGAAUUGACGGGG